UACGUAGGGGGCAAGCGUUGUCCGGAAUUAUUGGGCGUAAAGAGCGCGUAGGCGGUCCGGUAAGUCGGUUGUGAAAGUCGGGGGCUCAACCCUCGGAUGCCGAUCGAUACUGUCGGGCUAGAGUCCGGAAGAGGCGAGUGGAAUUCCUGGUGUAGCGGUGAAAUGCGCAGAUAUUAGGAGGAACACCGGUGGCGAAGGCGCUGCUCUGGGCCGAUACUGACGCUGAGGAGCGAAAGCGUGGGUAGCAAACAGG
rnacentral:rRNA from 1 species